UCCCUAGUAUGGCGAACGAACGGGGAAGAGCUCAUAGCCGAAUCCGGCGCCUUGAGGCGUCGGAAAUGUGGCGUAUGGGAGGCGGAUUCCUCCGAGUGCGACGGCUGGUACAAGUCCCCAUGAGAGGGGCAUGUUACCCAGAGCGGGUGCUAGGCCUGUACCGCCGGCCGUCCGCGCGCGGAGUUGCCGUUCUCCCGGGAGUCGGGUUGCUUGGGAGUGCAGCCCUAAGUGGGUGGUAAACUUCACCUAAAGCUAAAUAAGACCGAGAGACCGAUAGCGAACAAGUACCGUGAGGGAAAGUUGAAAAGCACUUUGAAGAGAGAGUUCAAGAGUACGUGAAACCGUUCAGAGGUAAACGGGUGGGCCCUCGAAGUCCGAAGGCGGUGGUGGAUUCAGCGGGGACUCGGUCUCGCCUUCUUUGACGUCACCCCACGACGGGGCCGUACAGAGGGGGUUAGGGUUCGGGUCCCGGCGCACUUCCACGCCCCGUCCAGUAGGGCGUCGCGACCAGUUGGAAGGCUGUCGAACGGGCGGACACGAAAGGUGGCCACAUUUCCUUCGGGAUCUGGGGUGUUACAGGCGGUCCAGCCCCGACGGGUCGUCCGACUGUGGUCGAGUAAAUCUCCAAAGCGUUCCCUUCCGGAAGGAAGCGGCCUCCUGGUUAAAGCACUCGGCGGAACGGCGUGCCACCAUCAAAGGUGAGCGCCUUUCGCCGGGGGUAUCCAGCUUGGGGUGCCGUGGGGGAGCUGGGGGUCGCGGCGAGUAGGUCGGUCGCCCACCCGACCCGUCUUGAAACACGGACCAAGGAGUCUAACGCGUGUGCGAGUUCCCGGGACUUGAAUAGGCCCGUGGGCGCAAUGAAAGUGAAGGUUGACUUAACGUCUUCCUAGUUGGGAUCCCGCUUCUGGCGGGCGCACCAACGGCCCGUCCAUCGCCGGUUUCGGCGGGGCGGAGCUAGAGCAUACGCUCUGGGACCCGAAAGAUGGUGAACUAUGCCUGGGCAGGACGAGGCCAGAGGAAACUCUGGUGGAGGUCCGUAGCGAUUCUGACGUGCAAAUCGAUCGUCAGACCUUG
rnacentral:rRNA from 1 species